rnacentral:rRNA from 1 species
GUGAUUAAGUUAUUAAGGGCGCACGGUGGAUGCCUUGGCACUAGAAGCCGAUGAAGGACGUUACUAACGACGAUAUGCUUUGGGUAGCUGUAAGUAAGCGUUGAUCCAGAGAUUUCCGAAUGGGGGAACCCAGCACAAGUUAUGUUGUGUUAUCGACAUGUGAAUACAUAGCAUGUCCGAAGGCAGACGCGGAGAACUGAAACAUCUUAGUACCCGCAGGAAGAGAAAGAAAAAUCGAUUCCCUGAGUAGCGGCGAGCGAAACGGGAAGAGCCCAAACCAAUGAGCUUGCUCAUUGGGGUUGUAGGACACUCUAUACGGAGUUACAAAGGAAUAAAUUAGACGAAUCACCUGGAAAGUUGAACCAGAGAAGGUAAAAGUCCUGUAGUCGAAAGUUUAUUCUCUCUUGAGUGGAUCCUGAGUACGACGGAGCACGUGGAAUUCCGUCGGAAUCCGGGAGGACCAUCUCCCAAGGCUAAAUACUCUCUAGUGACCGAUAGUGAACCAGUACCGUGAGGGAAAGGUGAAAAGUACCCCGGAAGGGGAGUGAAAGAGAACUUGAAACCGUGUGCUUACAAGUAGUCAGAGCCCGUUAAUGGGUGAUGGCGUGCCUUUUGUAGAAUGAACCGGCGAGUUACGAUCUGAUGCAAGGUUAAGCAGCAAAUGCGGAGCCGCAGCGAAAGCGAGUCUGAACAGGGCGUUGAGUAUUUGGUCGUAGACCCGAAACCAGGUGAUCUACCCUUGGUCAGGUUGAAGUUCAGGUAACACUGAAUGGAGGACCGAACCGACUUACGUUGAAAAGUGAGCGGAUGAACUGAGGGUAGCGGAGAAAUUCCAAUCGAACCUGGAGAUAGCUGGUUCUCUCCGAAAUAGCUUUAGGGCUAGCCUCAAGUGAUGAUUGUUGGAGGUAGAGCACUGUUUGGACGAGGGGCCCCUCUCGGGUUACCGAAUUCAGACAA